rnacentral:rRNA from 1 species
UACGUAGGGUGCAAGCGUUGUCCGGAAUUAUUGGGCGUAAAGAGCUCGUAGGCGGUCUGUCGCGUCGGCUGUGAAAACCCGGGGCUCAACCCCCGGGCCUGCAGUCGAUACGGGCAGACUAGAGUGCGGUAGGGGAGACUGGAAUUCCUGGUGUAGCGGUGAAAUGCGCAGAUAUCAGGAGGAACACCGGUGGCGAAGGCGGGUCUCUGGGCCAUUACUGACGCUGAGGAGCGAAAGCGUGGGGAGCGAACAGGG